rnacentral:rRNA from 1 species
ACUCCUACGGGAGGCAGCAGUCGGGAAUUUUGGGCAAUGGGCGAAAGCCUGACCCAUCAACGCCGCGUGAAGGAUGAAAUCCCUCGGGAUGUAAACUUCGCAAGAACAGGAAGAAUAAGUAGGGGACAAUACCCCCUAUGAUGACGGUACUGUUUGUAAGCUCCGGCUAACUCCGUGCCAGCAGCCGCGGUAAUACGGGGGGAGCAAGCGUUGUUCGGAUUUACUGGGCGUAAAGGGCGCGUAGGCGGCCACCGCAAGUCGGUUGUGAAAUCUCUGGGCUUAACCCAGAAAGGUCAACCGAUACUGCGGGGCUAGAGUGCAGAAGGGGCAACUGGAAUUCUCGGUGUAGCGGUGAAAUGCGUAGAGAUC